rnacentral:rRNA from 1 species
CUACGGGGGGCACCAGUGGGGAAUAUUGCACAAUGGGCGCAAGCCUGAUGCAGCCAUGCCGCGUGUAUGAAGAAGGCCUUCGGGUUGUAAAGUACUUUCAGCGGGGAGGAAGGGAGUAAAGUUAAUACCUUUGCUCAUUGACGUUACCCGCAGAAGAAGCACCGGCGAAUCCGUGCCAGCAGCCGCGGUAAUACGGAGGGUGCAAGCGUUAAUCGGAAUUACUGGGCGUAAAGCGCACGCAGGCGGUUUGUUAAGUCAGAUGUGAAAUCCCCGGGCUCAACCUGGGAACUGCAUCUGAUACUGGCAAGCUUGAGUCUCGUAGAGGGGGGUAGAAUUCCAGGUGUAGCGGUGAAAUGCGUAGAGAUCUGGAGGAAUACCGGUGGCGAAGGCGGCCCCCUGGACGAAGACUGACGCUCAGGUGCGAAAGCGUGGGGAGCAAACAGGAUUAGAUACCCGGGUAGUC